AUGUCCAAGGGGAGGAGGAACAUCCAUCUCCGGCCGCUCUCAGACGAGGAUGGAUGGCUUUCCGAAAGAUGCUUUAGCCCAGCACAAGUUAAUGGGCUCAGCCCUUGGAGGAAACGUGCUGAUCUGUGCAACGGGAGCAGCCAGGCAGGGCAACGGGGGCGUCCCGCCGUGCUUCGGCCCUUGAAUUGCACCCGCGGAAGGACACGGCCCCCUCGCGUUAUGCUCCUUCCUUCCUUCCAGUUACAUGCUGUGGGCUCCGGCCUCGGCGCUUGGAGACGGACAGAGAGAGGUCACGGAGCUGGGACCCAUCCGAGCCUGGGUGCUCCCUCCGCGGCUGGGCUCCCAUCAGAGGGGGAGCUGGUUCGGGGCUCACACCCUAUCCCGUCUCUCAGGGUGGGGGGUCCUGACCCUGUGGCUCCCUUCUGCUCGGGGUGGGGAGAAAAGGCACCUCCCGGCCAAGGUCACCCCAGCGCGAAGACGGCGCCUGGGCAAGCUGGCACGCCGGAGCGCCGCAGCAGGCUCCCGUCGUGGCCGCCCGGGGUGCUCGGGCUCCCCUGCCCGCACGGAGGUCGGCCGCCGUGGGGCACCUGCAGCAGCCGCGGCGCCCUUGAGCACCCACUUGCGCUUGCACCCGUCCUUGCCUAUGUGAAAAUACCCCCCUUACCCGCCUGGGGAGACUUACGGGCCGGGGGCUGCGGCCAGACUGAACCGCCCCCCGCGUGGGUCCCGCGGCACCAGCGCUCUCCCACCGUACACUUAGUCCUGGCCUUUCUGCCGCCUGCCCUCGGCUCUGCCCGCGCCCGGCGGCCACGGCUGGGGGACACAGCCCCGGCCACGGGAAGCCGAAGCCCCCGGCCCGGGCGGCUGGCGGCCGGGGGGCCCGUGGGUCUGCCAGGAUGCGGCCAGGCCUGGGCGGGGGGUGCCGGAGCUGCGGCCCGGGAUGGCUCCCGCGCGGAGGGAGCAGGUUUGUCCCGCCGGCAGCCCGGCUCGGACGGGCCGGUACCUGGCGGUGGCCUGGUGCAGGGUCAGGCCGGCGCAGAUUGUCAGGGGACAGCUGGGAGGGCUGGGAUUCCUGCAGGAGGCACAAAUCCGCCCUGGAGCCGGGCCACGGCGGCGCGGACCGGGGAGGGGGGGACGGCCGCGGCCGUGCAGCCCCGAGUUUCACUCACCCGCUGCCCGAGCACGGCCAUCCCGGCAGCGCGGCACCCCGCGCCAGCUCCCCUGUGCCCCGGGGUGCUCCGGCAGCUCUGGUCGCCCCGUGCCUGCUCCCCCGCCCGUGCCGGGCCCUGCAGCCCGGCCGUGCAUCCGUCCCCCCGCCACGCGCCGGCUGCAAUUGCCCGGCAGUACUCCGAUUUUGGGCAGCCCUCCAGCAGGUCACAGCUCCCCAGGCAGAGGCAGGCCGUGGCCAGGCUCUAG
rnacentral:lncRNA from 1 species